AGAGUUUGAUCCUGGCUCAGAAUCAACGCUGGCGGCGUGCCUAACACAUGCAAGUCGAACGCGAAAGCCCCGCAGGGGGCAAGUAGAGUGGCAAACGGAUGAGUAACACGUGGGUGACCUGCCUUCGAGCGGGGGAUAACGUCCCGAAAGGGACGCUAAUACCGCAUAACAUCCUGCCUUUGAAGAGGUGGAGAUCAAAGCCGGGGAUCGCAAGACCCGGCACUUGAAGAGGGGCCCGCGCCUGAUUAGCUAGUUGGAGGGGUAACGGCCUACCAAGGCAACGAUCAGUAUCCGGCCUGAGAGGGCGGACGGACACACUGGGACUGAGACACGGCCCACACUCCUACGGGAGGCAGCAGUGGGGAAUUGUUCGCAAUGGGCGCAAGCCUGACGACGCAACGCCGCGUGGAGGAUGAAUAUUUUCGGAUCGUACACUCCUGUCGAAUGGGACGAAUAGAUUGCGGGUUAACAGCCCGCGAUCCUGACGGUACCGUUAAAGGAAACCCCGGCUAACUCCGUGCCAGCAGCCGCGGUAAUACGGGGGGGGGUAAGCGUUGUUCGGAAUUACUGGGCGUAAAGGGCUCGUAGGCGGCCAACUAAGUCAUACGUGACAUCCCUCAUCUUAACUGGGAGAACUGCGUGU
rnacentral:rRNA from 1 species